UCCUAUGAUGCAGGCCUUACUAGGUGCA
rnacentral:piRNA from 1 species